UAACACUAUUUAUAGAUUUAUAUUGUUUGCAGAAUCGGACAAUUGUGAGCGAACUCAUUGUUCAGCAAAUCGCGGCUUCCAUUUGAAUGUAACGGAUAAUGAAAACAGGAAUAUAAUGAGAUUUAUUCGAGAGUUUAAACAGUGCACCGGUUGUAGUUGGUGUGCAGAAGGUUGUUGUAGCAUGGAGAUAGCGGCGGAAUCUCCCUUCGGAUGUAAUCUUGGCAAGAUUGCUCUUGCGAAUUCUAUAUGUGAUACUCAUGUACGGAUAUUUGACAAUAAUGACCGUCAUCUGUACACUGUCUGGGUGCCUUGUUGUUUCUGCCAGGACUGUUGCCAUCCAGCUGAUUUGAUUUUCCCA